rnacentral:lncRNA from 1 species
AUGUAUUCAAACUCUCCUGUACGGGGAUGCCCCUCUCAGAGUCCCCUGAACGAGUGCCCCCAGCUUUCCGGCUCGCAGAAGCUGUGUGCUUGGACGGAACCCCGCGCGCAGCCUUGUCUGGCCUUGUCUUUCAGGAGCUGGCUGGCCCUCGCAGUCGCUGCGCUUCUGGGUCCGAAACCCUCGGCCUGCGGCCCUCCACCUGGUCCCCGGCCAAACAUCCUCCUUCUGAUGGCGGACGAUCUCGGCAUUGGAGACGUCGGUUGCUACGGCAACAGCACCCUCAGGACUCCAAACAUCGACCGCCUUGCGGCGGAUGGCGUGAGGCUCACCCAGCAUCUGGCCGCUGCCCCUGUGUGCACGCCAAGUAGAGCGGCGUUUUUAACGGGCAGAUACCCCCUCCGAUCAGGUAUGGUUUCCAGUCAAGGCCUCCGUGUUCUUCAGUGGACAGCGGUGUCUGGAGGACUUCCGCCCAGUGAAAUAACUUUUGCAAAAAUACUGAAAGCUAAAGGCUAUACCACCGGACUCGUAGGAAAAUGGCAUUUGGGUCUCAGCUGUGCGUCUCCCGACGAUCACUGCCACCAUCCGCUCAAUCACGGCUUCGACCAUUUCUACGGAAUGCCAUUCAGCAUGAUGGCGGACUGCGAGCGCUGGGGACUAUCCGAGAAGCGUGCGGUCCUGGAGCGUCGCCUCGACGUCUGCUCCCAGCUCGUGGCCCUGGCCACCCUCACACUCACAAUCGGGAAACUCACCCGCCUGAUACUGGCCGCCUCCUGGACGCUGGUCAUCUGGUCGACUGUCGUGUGCCUCCUGCUCUUCGCCACUUCCUGUUUGGUGGGCGCCCUGAUCGAGCACGCGGACUGCUUUCUGAUGCGGAAUCAUUCCAUCGCACAGCAGCCCAUGCGCUCUCAGAAGACGAUGCCGCUCAUACUCCGGGAGGUCUCAUCCUUCAUCAAAAGAAACAAGCAAGGGCCUUUCCUCCUCUUUGUGUCCUUCCUGCACGUCCACACCCCUCUUGUCACGACUGAGAACUUCCGUGGGAGGAGUGCCCACGGGCUUUACGGGGACAACACCGAAGAGAUGGACUGGAUGGUGGGCCAGAUCCUUGAGACUUUGGACACAGAAGGGUUGACCAACAGCACCCUGGUUUAUUUUACAUCGGAUCACGGCGGAUCCUUAGAGGCUCAGUUUGGAAACAACCAAUACGGUGGCUGGAAUGGGGUAUAUAAAGGCGGCAAAGGCAUGGGCGGCUGGGAAGGCGGGAUCCGGGUCCCGGGGAUAUUCCGAUGGCCCGGGGUCCUGCCGGCCGGCCGCGUGAUCCACGAGCCCACCAGCCUGAUGGACGUCUUCCCCACCCUGGUCCACCUUGCGGGCGGCCAGGUGCCCCAGGACAGGGUCAUUGACGGCCGGAGCCUGCUGCCCCUGCUGAGGGGAGAUGCUGAGCACUCGGCACACGAGUUCCUGUUUCAUUACUGCGGGCAGUAUCUCCACGCCGCCCGCUGGCACGACAAGGACAGCGGAAGGCUCUGGAAGGUCCAUUACACCACGCCCCGCUUCCACCCCGAGGGCGCAGGGGCCUGCCACAGCCGCAGCGUGUGCCCCUGCUCGGGAGCCGGCGUGACCCACCACGACCCUCCCCUGCUCUUCGACCUUUCCGAGGACCCGUCCGAGGCCCGGCCCCUGUCGCCCGACGCCGGGCCCCUGUACCACGAGGCGGUGGCCCGCGUGGGCCGGGCGGUCCGGGAGCACCGCCGGUCGCUGCGCCCGGCGCCUGAGCAGCUGUCCUUCUGGAACGUGGUCUGGAAGCCGUGGCUGCAGCCCUGCUGCGGGCCGUUCCCAUUCUGCGCAUGCUCCCGGGACGCGGACCCCAGGGAGACCUGACCUCGCCGCUCCCCAAGUUACAGCAAGGGGUGGGCGAGCAGGCAGGGAGAACGGGACCCUUGUGUGCUGUCGGGAAUGGAGAGCUGCAGCGGCCGCUGGGGGCAACGGGGUGGACGGUCCUCCAGCCACCAAAAAAUGGAACUACCCUAGGAUGCAGCUAGGCCAGCCCUGCGUGUGUGUCUGUCACUCAGCCAUGUCUGAAGGAGUGUUUCGGGCCUGGAAAAGAAAACAACAGUUUCAAAGGUCCUUGCUGAAUCAUCUAACUUCGGAGAAAACAGAACUUUAGGUCCCACCCUGAUGCUCCAGGCCGGUUGCAUCUAUCUGGGACUUAUCACCCCUGUCCAGAAAUCUUCCACCCCCUACACCUGCCCAGAAGACUUAUCACCUCCUGUCCGGAAACCUUGCACCCCCUACACCUGCCCAGAAGACUUAUCACCCCCUGCCCAACUACAAAUGCCAUCUCAACUAAAGAAUACCCAAAACAUCCCCCCUGAUUAACGUUUCCUUAUCGCUUCCAUAAACCUCCCUAUAAAUACGGAGCCUCCCUGAUCCCUCUCUGUGCUCAGCCUGAUCUUAAGGCCAACCGUCGCCCCUCCUUGCCUGAAUAAAGGUAACCUACUUCUAUUGAGAUCGUCUUUC